AUGCAAAAUAUGAUAAAAUAAAAAUAAAAAUAAAAUUAAAUAAAUGCGAAAUAGUAAAAUGAAAGAAAAACCAUGGGUUGCCUCCCACGCAGCGCUUGUUUAACGUCAAUAGCUUGACGAUUAGAAUCUAUACACUUGUAGUAGUAGGGAUUGAUGGAUCAAUCAGGGUGUGGCUUGAGUAGUAUGCUGGAAUGUCUCCU
rnacentral:lncRNA from 1 species